rnacentral:tRNA from 7 species
GCUAUCUAGCUCAGUUGGUGGAGCACAGGGUUUUAAACCAUGAGGUUGGGCGUUCAAGUCCUACAACUCGCC